ACUGUCUCCUCCCGAGACUCAGCGAAGUUGAAGUGGUUGUGAAGAUGCAAUCUACCCGCUGCUAGACGGAAAGACCCCGUGAACCUUUACUGUAGCUUUGCAUUGGACUUUGAAGUCACUUGUGUAGGAUAGGUGGGAGGCUUAGAAGCAGAGACGCCAGUCUCUGUGGAGCCGUCCUUGAAAUACCACCCUGGUGUCUUUGAGGUUCUAACCCAGACCCGUAAUCCGGGUCGGGGACCGUGCAUGGUAGGCAGUUUGACUGGGGCGGUCUCCUCCCAAAGAGUAACGGAGGAGUUCGAAGGUUACCUAGGUCCGGUCGGAAAUCGGACUGAUAGUGCAAUGGCAAAAGGUAGCUUAACUGCGAGACCGACAAGUCGAGCAGGUGCGAAAGCAGGACAUAGUGAUCCGGUGGUUCUGUAUGGAAGGGCCAUCGCUCAACGGAUAAAAGGUACUCUGGGGAUAACAGGCUGAUACCGCCCAAGAGUUCAUAUCGACGGCGGUGUUUGGCACCUCGAUGUCGGCUCAUCUCAUCCUGGGGCUGUAGCCGGUCCCAAGGGUAUGGCUGUUCGCCAUUUAAAGAGGUACGUGAGCUGGGUUUAAAACGUCGUGAGACAGUUUGGUCCCUAUCUGCUGUGGGCGUUGGAGAUUUGACGGGGGCUGCUCCUAGUACGAGAGGACCGGAGUGGACACACCUCUGGUGUACCUGUUGUCACGCCAGUGGCAUCGCAGGGUAGCUAAGUGUGGAAGAGAUAACCGCUGAAAGCAUCUAAGCGGGAAACUUGCCUGAAGAUGAGAUCUCCCUGGGGACUCGAUCCCCCUGAAGGGUCGUCCAAGACCAGGACGUUGAUAGGCCGGGUGUGGAAGCGCAGUAAUGCGUGCAGCUAACCGGUACUAAUUGCCCGUGAGGCUUGACCCU
rnacentral:rRNA from 1 species